AAGUAGUGGAUCUUUAUUAUCAAAUGAUAUGGGAGACAGUCAAAGCAUCAGUCUCAGCAUCAACAGAAGAAAAGGACUGACCGACCGCCGUUCAAGAGAGAUCCCGAAGGCUCGAACUUUUUGCUAGCUUUGAAAGAUGGGCCGAAGGAAAGAGGAAGACCAAACAAAGUCGCGGUCAAAGCAAAGAAAAAGAUGCCAAAAAAGAUUC
rnacentral:lncRNA from 1 species